UACGAAGGGGGCUAGCGUUGCUCGGAAUCACUGGGCGUAAAGGGUGCGUAGGCGGGUCUUUAAGUCAGGGGUGAAAUCCUGGAGCUCAACUCCAGAACUGCCUUUGAUACUGAAGAUCUUGAGUUCGGGAGAGGUGAGUGGAACUGCGAGUGUAGAGGUGAAAUUCGUAGAUAUUCGCAAGAACACCAGUGGCGAAGGCGGCUCACUGGCCCGGUACUGACGCUGAGGAGCGAAAGCAUGGGGAGCGAACAGG
rnacentral:rRNA from 1 species